rnacentral:tRNA from 1 species
GCUUGUGAAGCUCAAUUGGUUGAGCAGAGCGUUGAAGUUGCUUUGGUUGUAAGUUCGAGUCUUACCACGAGCA